GGCGACAUGGCCGAGCGGUCUAAGGCGCUAGAAUCAGGUUAUACCUCAUCUAGUCUUUCGGGGCGGGAGUUCGAAUCUCCCUGUCGUCA